UAAGUUUUAGUUGGCUGUUAUUAUCGGUGACUCAUUUAUUUCACCAAAUGAGAUGUUAAAGAAGAUAGUAACAUGAGAUAUUUCAAGACUUUUGUGUAACCUUGGACCUACGAACAAAAAGUGAAGGAUAAGAUACCAAAACCAUGGAAUUCCUGUAAAGCUCUUUAGUGAGGGGUGAUGUAAAGAAGAUAUUGUGGUUGCCAGUCAUGCAGAAGGUGCAGUUUCAAUCAUUAUUAGCCUUUAAGCAGUGGUGGGCGCAAUGGAAGACAACAUAGUUUGUUGAGUAGACUCCACUGCCAGGGGCGGAUUCGGUGCUCGCUUGCAUUUGGAUCCUUCGAUUUCCUGUCGGUUUCAACUUUGGAUCUCCAUGAUUGAAGCAAUUUUAACUCGCCUUAUCAUUAUCAAAUGAUGGAGAUGCUGGGCAGGUGGAGGGAGGAGAGCCAGUAUCUCAAACCGCACUUCUCAACCCUUAAUCAAUAGAUAAGAAACGACCGAGUACAGGUACCGAGUCAACUUUAAUAAUCCAUCUCGGCUUCAUUGGAAAGAUUCUCCAUAGAAAGAUAGAUUUCUAACCUUUCUUCUUCUUUGAAUAAUUUAGAUAGAUGGUAUUGAUUAACUAAGUCCAAGGAUGCCUCACCUAGUGGAAUAAAGUAAACCAUAAUGAUGCUUUAACCCUGACUCUUCUACAUGGUAAAUUUUACUUAUCUUAAUGUACUAUAAAUACACAUAACAAAGCCUCAUCUGGAGCAGUGAGGGCAUCAAACUUUGUUCUUCUUGUUGGUAGUGGUGGGUGUCCUAGUGGCAUCCACGGUAGGACCCCCACGUCGUCAUGUUUCAUGUGUUCAUUUAUGCACUGUACCUUUCGGGUUUUAGAUUAAUAGCUAAGGAGUCCAUGACGCCGAUGCAAACAGCAAACAUGGCCACUUGAUUCUUUUUCUGCAUCGGCGAAACCUGUCCCCCUCUCGCCACAUGCGUCGUGGAAGCUGAUGAUUG